rnacentral:rRNA from 1 species
UGGGGAAUCUUGCACAAUGGGCGAAAGCCUGAUGCAGCGACGCCGCGUGAGGGAAGAAGGCCCUCGGGUUGUAAACCUCUUUCGGCAGGGAAGAAGCCGCAAGGUGACGGUACCUGCAGAAGAAGCCCCGGCUAACUACGUGCCAGCAGCCGCGGUAAGACGUAGGGGGCGAGCGUUGUCCGGAUUUAUUGGGCGUAAAGCGCGCGUAGGCGGCCCGUUAAGUCGGAUGUGAAAACCCGGGGCUCAACCCCGGGCCUGCAUUCGAUACUGGCGGGCUCGAGGCAGGCAGGGGAGAGCGGAAUUCCUGGUGUAGCGGUGAAAUGCGCAGAUAUCAGGAGGAACACCAGUGGCGAAGGCGGCUCUCUGGGCCUGUCCUGACGCUCAGGCGCGAAAGCUAGGGGAGUAAACAG